GCUGGCAUAGCUCAGUUGGUAGAGCAGUUGAUUUGUAAUCAUCAGGUCGCGAGUUCGAAUCUUGCUGCCAGCACCA
rnacentral:tRNA from 1 species